UACGUAGGGUGCAGGCGUUACUCGGAAUUACUGGGCGUAAAGCGUGCGCAGGCGGUCUUUUAAGUCAGAUGUGAAAUCCCCGGGCUUAACCUGGGAACUGCGUUUGAAACUGAAAGGCUAGAGUGUGGCAGAGGGGGGUGGAAUUCCACGUGUAGCAGUGAAAUGCGUAGAGAUGUGGAGGAACACCGAUGGCGAAGGCAGCCCCCUGGGCUAACACUGACGCUCAUGCACGAAAGCGUGGGGAGCAAACAGG
rnacentral:rRNA from 1 species